UGUUGCGCCCACUGACUGUCAAAUAAGUAAUUGGCAAUGUUGGAGAGUUGACACUGUUGACAGUGUUUAAGACAAGUGACAGAUGCGAAAACGAACGUUCUUCUUUUAGUCGGCUUGACAAUAUGGUGUCAUAGCAUGGGUUGGCCCUUUGUAGUAAAAGUUUACCCUUCUUUUUACUAUUCACUCAGUGAUAGGAAGGAUCUACCACGAUCUAGCCCAAUUCAUGUCUCACACAAGCAGGGAUUGGAAGCCCAAAGAAAAUUGAAGACUGUAUUUCACAAUAGUUGCCAAGAACAAAUGAAAUUUGUUUUAUGUACUUUCUUAAACGUUCAUUUUUUGUUUUGUUUUUUAGACAUAUACAUGAUAGG